rnacentral:rRNA from 1 species
CCUACGGGAGGCAGCAGUGGGGGAUAUUGCACAAUGGGGGAAACCCUGAUGCAGCGACGCCGCGUGGGUGAAGAAGCGCCUCGGCGCGUAAAGCCCUGUCAGCAGGGAAGAAAAUGACGGUACCUGAAGAAGAAGCCCCGGCUAACUACGUGCCAGCAGCCGCGGUAAUACGUAGGGGGCAAGCGUUAUCCGGAUUUACUGGGUGUAAAGGGGGCGCAGACGGCGGGGCAAGCCUGGAGUGAAAGCCCGGGGCCCAACCCCGGGACUGCUCUGGAAACUGCGUAGCUGGAGUGCAGGAGGGGGAAGCGGAAGGUCCGGUGGAGCGGUGAAAGGUGUAGAGGGAAGGAGGAACAGCGGCGGCGAAGGCG